rnacentral:rRNA from 1 species
GACGAACGCUGGCGGCGUGCUUAACACAUGCAAGUCGAACGGAAAGGCCCUGCUUUUGUGGGGUGCUCGAGUGGCGAACGGGUGAGUAACACGUGAGUAACCUGCCCUUGACUUUGGGAUAACUUCAGGAAACUGGGGCUAAUACCGGAUAGGAGCUCCUGCUGCAUGGUGGGGGUUGGAAAGUUUGGGCGGUUGGGGAUGGACUGGCGGGUUACCAGCUGGUUGGUGGGGUAGGGGCUUACAAAGGCUUUGACGGGUAGCCGGCCUGGGAGGGUGACCGGCCACAUUGGGCCUGAGAGAGGGCCCAGACUCCUACGGGAGGCAGCAGUGGGGAAUAUUGCGCAAUGGGCGGAAGCCUGAUGCAACAACGCCGCGUGCGGAAUGACGGCUUUCGGGUUGUAAACCGCUUUCGCCUGUAACGAACCGUGAGUGACGGUAAUGGGUAAAGAAGCACCGGCUAACUACGUG